AACGCACCUUGCACUCUUUGGUAUUCCGAAGAGUAUGUCUGUUUGAGUGUCAUGAAACUCUCAACCCCCUCAUUUUGUAAUGAAGUGAGUCGUGGGCUUGGAUUAUGGCUGUCUGUCGGCUUCAUUGCCGGCUCAGCUGAAAUACACGAGUAAGCCAGUUUGAAAUAUGACGGCUUGACUCGGCGUAAUAGCUUUAUUAUCGCUGAGGACGUUUACAUAUCAAAGAUAGUGGUGCUUCUAAUGCGUCGUAGCGUCAGCUGUACAACCUUUAAGCUUUAGACCUCAAAUCAGUCAGGACUACCCGCUGAACUUAA
rnacentral:misc_RNA from 1 species